CUUUGGUUUCAUAAUCACACAUGUGGAAUUGAGCCUCGGACUAUUCGGCAUAUUGAACCGUCGGCCUAAUGCGCCUCCUUUUUUAAAAGUCGGACAAACGGACCUUCGGACCAAUGGGUUCCGUUUUCGGAACAUUGAACCGUCAGCAUAGUGCCAUGUCGAUCUAAUGGGAAAUAUUUCGGACCAUUGAGACGUCGGAACAAUGAGGCGUCGGAAUUACGGCAUGGCACCCAUGGAAUAACGUAUCAUCUUUAACGUUUAAUUAGAUGUCAACUAGCCUAGAUGUCAACGGCUAACUUCCAACUCACCUCAACCUCGUAAACUUUCUUUUUCUGUGAUGCCUGGACGCUACCCUUUAUAACUCCCCGAGGCAAAACAGCCACACUGACCACUCUGUUGGAGUGAAACGAAUUCAACCCUUUCUUUACUCUUUCAGGUGUCUCACUGAAGAAAGAAGUAAUCGUAAAAAGGUUCACUGGUUCAGCCAUCGUUGUUUUUUGUUUUGAUGUUCGACGGAGCGGUUGGACCCGGAAGUUUUAUUUUAGUGCCCCACUCCGCACUCUGCAACAAGGUGUGUGCGGAGUGGAUCCGAAUCGCACACAUUCCUCCGCUGCCUGCAGCCCUGCAUUGGCCGGCCCACAAUGCUUGUGUAGCCUAUAUAUACAAGCGCUCAAUAUUAUCCUCACCACCAAACCGUCCUGCCUCUCUCCUUGUGUGCGCUUCUGAUCAAAGCUAAUUAUCAGCGGUCUGGUUCCGGCCGAACCACCUGUUGCGCAGCGCUCGCUCGAAUGAAAGGUUUCCCUCAGCGGCUGAAUGGCUCUCCACUCCCGCCACGAGACCAGAGGUUCUGAGUCCACCGUCCCGGAGCAACCGGACCCGGAGGAGGACCUGCUGGCCCCGGAGGAGUAGGCCUACCUGCUGGCCCCGGAGGAGGACCUGCUGGACCCGGAGGUUGACUGGCCGCCUGACCGCGCCGACGACGACGGUUAAGCAUGGACCAGCCGCCUUCAUGUACGAAUCUGCAUCUCCUCAAUGAAUAAGGAUUUAACCCUUUCUGACAAACGUGACAAAGUGACUCAUUCCAGUCUUCCCUCCACAGUGGAAGCGGAUUCGCACACACACACACUUCUUCGGUGGCUUAGCAAGAAAAAUAAUUGCGUUCUUGUGUAAACUCACCUCCAUGCAAUGAUGAACAAAGAACAAAGACAAUAAAACUUUCCAUUUAGCCUCUAGCGAUAUAAACCGGGGUCCCCACAAACAAACGUCCUAUGCUUAAUAAUCUUUUCCAAUCGAUUAAUCAUUUAGUGCCACUGCCAGUGAAAUAAGAAAUUGCGCUAGCGUUACAUUUUAGGUUAAAUAUUGACAUUGUUAAGAUCCUCGAAGUCCGUUCUUAUGUAAACUCACCUCCAUGUAAUGAUGAACACUGACAAUAAAAGACCCGUUGAUUAUU